rnacentral:rRNA from 1 species
GACGAACGCUGGCGGCGUGCUUAACACAUGCGAGUCGAACGGAAAGGCCCUGCUUUUGUGGGGUGCUCGAGUGGCGAACGGGUGAGUAACACGUGAGUAUCCUGCCCUUGACUUUGGGAUAACUUCAGGAAACUGGGGAUAAUACCGGAUAGGAGCUCCUGCUGCAUGGGGGGGGUUGGAAAGUUUCGGCGGUUGGGGAUGGACUCGCGGCUUAUCAGCUUGUUGGUGGGGGAGUGGCUUACCAAGGCUUUGACGGGUGGCCGGCCUGGGAGGGUGACCGGCCACAUUGGGACUGAGGUACGGCCCAGACGCCUACGGGAGGCAGCAGUGGGAAAUAUUGCACAAUGGGCGGAAGCCUGAUGCAGCAACGCCGCGUUCGGGAUGCCGUCCUGCGGGUUGUAAACCGCUUUCGCCUGUGACGAAGCGUGAGUGACGGUAAUGGGUGAAGAAGCACCGGCUAACUACGUG